rnacentral:rRNA from 1 species
UACGGGGGGGGCAAGCGUUGUUCGGAAUUACUGGGCGUAAAGGGCUCGUAGGCGGCCAACUAAGUCAGACGUGAAAUCCCUCGGCUUAACCGGGGAACUGCAUCUGAUACUGGAUGGCUUGAGAUUGGGAGAGGGAUGCGGAAUUCCAGGUGUAGCGGUGAAAUGCGUAGAUAUCUGGAGGAACACCGGUGGCGAAGGCGGCAUCCUGGACCAACACUGACGCUGAGGAGCGAAAAGCCAGGGGAGCAAAGCGGGG